rnacentral:rRNA from 1 species
GUCCAGACUCCUACGGGAGGCAGCAGUGGGGAAUAUUGCACAAUGGGGGAAACCCUGAUGCAGCGACGCCGCGUGAGUGAAGAAGUAUUUCGGUAUGUAAAGCUCUAUCAGCAGGGAAGAAAGAAAUGACGGUACCUGACUAAGAAGCCCCGGCUAACUACGUGCCAGCAGCCGCGGUAAUACGUAGGGGGCAAGCGUUAUCCGGAUUUACUGGGUGUAAAGGGAGCGUAGACGGCCAUGCAAGCCAGGGGUGAAAGCCCGGGGCCCAACCCCGGGACUGCCCUUGGAACUGUGCGGCUGGAGUGCCGGAGGGGCAGGCGGAAUUCCUGGUGUAGCGGUGAAAUGCGUAGAUAUCAGGAGGAACACCGGUGGCGAAGGCGGCCUGCUGGACGGAUACUGACGCUGAGGCCCGAAAGCGUGGGGAGCGAACAGGAUUAGAUACCCGAGUA